rnacentral:ncRNA from 2 species
AUGAAUCUUCAGGGCAGGGUGAAAUUCCCGACCGGUGGUACAGUCCACGAGCCGAGAGGUUGAACUGGUGUAAUUCCAGUACCGACAGUAAAGUCUGGAUGGAAGAAGUGUUUG